CCGCCGAAGGUGGGGCAGAUGAUUGGGGUGAAGUCGUAACAAGGUAUCCCUACCGGAAGGUGGGGAUGGAUCACCUCCUUUCUAUGGAG
rnacentral:rRNA from 1 species